GUCCCGGGAGCUCAGUUGGUAGAGCACCUGUACGGGGUGAGCGAAAGCGCCUAGCAAUAACUGCCAGAAGGUCGCAGGAUCGAAGCCAGCCCGGGAUU
rnacentral:tRNA from 1 species